rnacentral:lncRNA from 1 species
AACAAUAAACUCAAGAAAUAAUAAUUAAAUAAUUAAUUUUCAUAUCCAUCAUUGUCAAACAAGAAGGCGAAUUAAGGAAACAAGUUAUAAGCACUAGCUUAAAACAAUAAUCCAAUUUCCUUUCCAUAAGGAGUUUUCUAGUUUCAUAUAUAUGCAUAUUUAUGGUAAGAAAAUAAAACCAUUAUUAGUUUUAUACAAUUAUAAUUCUUCAAACAUCAUGUACUUAGAACAAUUUAAAACUUUGCAGUAGGUCGAUUCUCCAUAAAUGCACUCAAGAACUGCGAUGACUCCAAAAACAAAGGUUUGAUCCAUCCAGGUUUCACCACCACAUUACACAAAACCUUGCUUUCCAUCAAUAUCUCCACUUCUUUAUUCACCCCAACCUAUAUAUAAAUGGACCAAACACAUAUUUAUUAUUGUCAUGUUAUAUAUAAUUUACAGAAAAAACCUUAAGACUUGAAAGAUAGCGUACCUAGGCAAUUACUGGGCAAUAUCAGCUAUAGCCUCUACUUCUCUCACUGUUUCACCAGUUAGUUGCAAAAGGAACAUUGCACAGGGGAUGGAGCAGUUUAUAAGAUCAACAAUGUAAAGAAAAGUAAAGAGAAAAGGAGCAACUAAGCAAUUAUGAGAGUUGAAGGGUUGUUUAUUUCAUGCUUUACCUAGCUAUAUAAACAUCAAUAAUUUAUAAUCCAAGGGAUUGAAACUAAAAACCAAAAAUAAAACCAACAGAAAAAAAAAUUCUAGCCAAUGAAAGAAAACCUGCAGAGGGAAAAGAUGUUGAGAAAGAUAUCACUUGCAAAAGAAAAAUACAGAGAUACCUAAACAUUGGCCAAAAGAAACUUUGAACAGAAUUGAGAUACACCAGGCUUUGAAAUUGGCAAUAAACAUAUAUGAAGACCUUACUGAAAAUAAAAGAAACUACAAAACAUAGAAAAUAUAAACUGUGGAGAAUGGGGAUACGUAACUAAAAUAUAUAAUAGAACCAAUGAGGAAAAUGGAGAAAGAAAAUAAAAGAGUAGAACCUGUUUGAUACAAAUAUGGAAAGGUUAUACAGAAUGCAGUACUUUCCAUGUAAGCUAAUAUCAUCCAUGUAGAAUGCAGUACUUUUCAUGAUGAAGAAAUUGUACCCAAAAUGCAUUAUUACUUUACACCAAAAUAACUAGGCACAAGGUAGUAAACCUAACAUCCCUAUGUAGCUAACAAUAAAAACAAAAAACUACACCCUAAAAAUGAUGCAAUAGCACUUGCGGUAGCUUCAAAGAACCAACUGCACCAACAACUUCUAAAGCAAAAUAGAAACUAUACUAAUCCAAAAACACUACAACACUACAACCAAACUAGCUAACUGGAAAAUGCAACAACCAAAUGAAAAGAGAUAACUUACUAUACCCACACCCUUUCACCAAAAAAACCAGCGAAACCCAAAACAAAACAAAAAUGUUGCAGUAAUACCAGUUGGUUUGGAACUCCACAUACUGCCAUUUUUUUCUUCCUUUUUCACUAAUACCAGUUGGGAGAAAUAUUUCUUAGGUUCUCAAUGGCCUAGUGGGUGGCACAUUUAAUUUUUUGAAUAAUAUUAGACAUAUAUUGUUCAGAACUAGUUUCCAACAAUUUAAAGUAACUUAGGCAAUAUAGUCCUAAUCAAAUGUGAAUAAAAUGGUUAUUACAAGUUCCAAGCACUUAGGCUUGACAAUAUUUAGCAGUGGUAAAAUAUACAAUACCACAAACAAGAAUUAUCCACUUUUUCUUGACCUAGAAAAUUUGAAGACAAAUACAAAGGACAGUAGGCACAUCAAGGUGAAUAUUUAACAAAAUAAAAAUAUUUUAAAAAUUAAUUAUUUACCUAGAACCAACACCCAGUUCCAAUAGCAAUAAAAUCACCAGGACGCACUUGAGUUGCAUAAGCCAUAACACCGUAAGCUGUAAAAACAACAAAUCCGACCAUGAGUUGAAUUUAUCAAAAACACAAGCAAUAAAUAACAAGAACACACAGUUUAAGGAACAAAAAUCACAACAAAUUAAGUUAUAAGUUCAUUUGAUUGAAACUAAAACAACUUAUUUAUUUUAAAACCCUAUUUACACCUUUUUCGCAUCAUCAAAUUUGAAGAGAAACUACUUGCACUUUCAAUCAAUUAAAAACAGAGUAUAUAAAAGGGUAAAACACGAAUUAGGGUAGGGAUAAGAGAAAAAAGAGGAACGACAAAAAGACAUCAAAAGCUAAGAGAAAAUGGAGUGUGGGUUGAGGAAGUGAAGAAUACCCUCUUCAAUUAUUUUCUCGCAAAGUUCCUUUCGAUAAGCAUUGGUGGGGUUCAUGACCUUACCACCCUUCGUCGUCUUCAUUGUGGAAGAGUGAACCCUCUCUUUCACAAGCUCCUUAGUAUUAAUAUUCCUCUUCUGAAAUCGAAAUCAUUUCCCCCUUUCCUUAUUUCUCUUUCGAUUCACAAAUGGAAGGGUUUGGGAAAUGAUAGUCACCGAGUGACUUUAGGGGAGGAGUGUGGAGAAAGAGUUGGAAAGAAUGCUCUAUGUGAGGAGGGGUGGGAGGGUUUGCGGUAAUGAGAGUGAGAAGAUUUAGGGUUUAGUGAAAGGGUUCGAAAGACUGUUCUUUGUGAGGUGUGAAUGGGUCAGGUUUCCAAAGAGGUAAAAGUGAGGUUUUCAAAGGGUCAAAAGAAAAA